rnacentral:lncRNA from 1 species
GGCGUCAGUCUUGGCUGGCAGACCUGUACUCCGUACUCCGUACUUCGUAGUCGCAGCGGCGCGGUCUUCGGCAGUCUAGUCAUCCACCGCCAUCCUGGGCCCCACGUGUUGCCUGACCAUUCCUGAGCCCAGGUGGGAGCCGUGGCUGAGGUGACGGUCUCAAAGUGGAAGAGCUUACUGUCACAGCAACUCCUUUGCAAGAUGCCCCGUGUCCAUGAAACUGGGAGGCGACCGUGUUAGCUGCCAGUUCCUGACAGCCACCUCUCACCAGUGGCUUCACUCUGUGUCCCUGACCCAGCACAUGGCACAAGAGUGCCUGCCAUCCGUCAGUGUUUCUACAGCAGCAAUCCCAAGAUGCUGGAGCUAGAGGGGACCUGACCUGAGAGAAGAUACCUUCAGUGGCUGCCAGGCUGUUCCUUGGAACCUGUGCAGGGAUGAGGCCUGCCUGUGUUAAUACACCUAGUGAGGAGUGGAGCUGAAUUUGAAUGCAAGCCUUGGCACCUUAAUUGAGCAAGUUUGAAACCUCGCUUGUUGCCCUUCUGGAAGGAGUCAGGAAUUUCCAGUUCUGGGCCUGGGCUGUGGGUCUGGCAGACAGACCUCUGGCCCUAGGUUUGGGUGCCAGGUUCUCUGCUUCCAGAAUGAGAAGCUUUGCUGUGCACCAGGACCUGGGCCCUUCUGGUAUCUCCUGAAUGAAAAACAAGGGAUAUUUAAUAAAUAUGGAUUUAAAUAUG